rnacentral:rRNA from 1 species
UCGUGGAUUGAUUUGUCUGGUUAAUUCCGAUAACGAACGAGACCUUACUCUGCUAAUUACUUGGGUUCAGCUCCGGCUGGAUGUUUGGAAUCUUUAUUGUUCCAUGUCCAAGUUCUUAGAGAGACAGCUGGCGUUUAGCCAGAGGAAGUUUGAGGCAAUAACA